UACAGAGGGUGCGAGCGUUGUUCGGAAUCAUUGGGCGUAAAGCGCGCGUAGGCGGCUUUGCAAGUCGGAUGUGAAAGCCCUGGGCUCAACCCAGGAAGUGCAUUCGAAACUGCAUGGCUUGAGUUCCGGAGAGGGUGGUGGAAUUCCGAGUGUAGAGGUGAAAUUCGUAGAUAUUCGGAGGAACACCAGUGGCGAAGGCGACCACCUGGACGAGAACUGACGCUGAGGUGCGAAAGCGUGGGGAGCAAACAGG
rnacentral:rRNA from 1 species